UGCAGUCGAGCGGCAGCGGAAGUAGCUUGCUACUUUGCCGGCGAGCGGCGGACGGGUGAGUAAUGUCUGGGAAACUGCCUGAUGGAGGGGGAUAACUACUGGAAACGGUGGCUAAUACCGCAUAACGUCGCAAGACCAAAGUGGGGGACCUUCGGGCCUCACGCCAUCGGAUGUGCCCAGAUGGGAUUAGCUAGUAGGUGGGGUAAUGGCUCACCUAGGCGACGAUCCCUAGCUGGUCUGAGAGGAUGACCAGCCACACUGGAACUGAGACACGGUCCAGACUCCUACGGGAGGCAGCAGUGGGGAAUAUUGCACAAUGGGCGCAAGCCUGAUGCAGCCAUGCCGCGUGUGUGAAGAAGGCCUUCGGGUUGUAAAGCACUUUCAGCGAGGAGGAAGGCAUCACACUUAAUACGUGUGGUGAUUGACGUUACUCGCAGAAGAAGCACCGGCUAACUCCGUGCCAGCAGCCGCGGUAAUACGGAGGGUGCAAGCGUUAAUCGGAAUUACUGGGCGUAAAGCGCACGCAGGCGGUUUGUUAAGUCAGAUGUGAAAUCCCCGAGCUUAACUUG
rnacentral:rRNA from 1 species